rnacentral:rRNA from 1 species
AUGCAGGCGGCGGCGGCGGCGCGGCGCCACCUCCUCGACCAGCACCACCUCUCCCCAGCCUCCUCGGCCGCCAUCGCCGCCUUCAGAUCCGCCGCCCAGCCGGCGCUCGCGCCCCAAGGGUCGGGCGGGGCGGAUGGCGCGAGGUACAUGUCCGCGAGGGCGCCGGCCGUCAAGGGGGCCGGGCAUCUCGUCCGCAAGGGCACCGGAGGGAGGUCAUCCGUGAGUGGAAUCGUUGCUACGGUGUUUGGCGCUACUGGAUUUCUUGGACGCUAUGUCGUUCAACAACUUGCAAAGAUGGGAUCUCAGGUUCUUGUCCCAUUCAGAGGUUGUGAGGAUUCUCACCGGCACCUGAAGUUAAUGGGUGACUUGGGCCAGAUUGUUCCAAUGAACUACAACCCAAGAGAUGUGAAUUCGAUUAAGACUGCUGUUGCCAAGUCAAAUGUGGUCAUUAACCUCAUUGGACGGGAGUAUGAAACUAGAAACUAUGGGUUUGAAGAAGUAAACCAUCAGAUGGCUGAACAACUUGCAAUGAUAUCCAAGGAGCAUGGGGGUAUUGUGAGAUUUAUCCAGGUUUCUGCUUUAGGGGCAUCAGCCUCUUCACCUUCUAGAUUGCUGAGGGCGAAGGCUGCUGGAGAGGAAUCUGUGUUGAAAGAAUUUCCUGAAGCUACAAUUAUGAGGCCUGCAACCCUGAUUGGCACAGAAGAUCGGAUUUUGAACAGAUGGGCAAUGUAUGCCAAAAAUUGGGGUUUCCUCCCACUUUUUGGCGGUGGAUCUACAAAGUUUCAGCCUGUUUAUGUUGUGGAUGUUGCGGCUGCCAUUGUCAACUCCCUCAAGGAUGAUGGCACCAGCAUGGGAAAGACCUAUGAGCUUGGUGGACCAGAUAUUUACACUGUUCAUGACCUGGCUGAAAUGAUGUUUGAAACAAUACGCGAAUAUCCAAGAUACGUGAAUAUUCCUUUCCCUAUUGCAAAGGCUAUGGCUUCUCCAAGGGAAAUGCUGCUAAACAAAGUGCCUUUUCCUCUACCGACUCCCUCCAUUUUCAAUCUUGAUCAUAUCAAGGCACUCACCGUAGACAAUCUAGUGUCUGAGAAUGCUCUCAGUUUUGCGGACCUGGAAAUCAAGCCUCACAAGUUGAAGGGUUACCCUACCGAGUUCCUUGUCUGCUACAGGAAGGGCGGGCCGUCUUUUGGUUCUACUGUCAGCGAGAAGAUGGGGAGCGCGGAUGUGGCCCCCCGGUUCUGA